ensembl:lncRNA
AGGUCACUCAGGUUGAGCUGUAAAGAAUAAAUGCUUUUUGAAUUGUAAUGCUGGCAUCUCGCUGAGGAGCCUUUGAUGAAGGAAAAGCUGCAGCUCUAAACUCUUCAGUAAGUGUGCUGCAGGUCUCUCCUCUGGACCCCAGACUGAAAUGCCCUGGGUUUUCAACAAAACACUUUGAAAAGUGCUGUAGUAAUAAAUUUUGCUUGCUCGCUCAUUCGCUCACUUUGAAAAUUUGCGGAAGCUCUUCUUACUGUGGGUUCAGAAAAUAUGAAUGUAGACUUUGCUAUCUUUUUUUUUCAUUGCUCCUCCACUGCUGGUUGUUUGGACACAAAUCAAAUACAAACAGUCACAGAUUAACGGAUUAACUCACCGCAUAUGGUUAAUAAUUACUGAUUUUUUUUUUUAUCUGAUUGGAGUGUAUGCACUGUAAGUUAACUUAUAAUUGUAUUUUUAGUAAAAGUGAAAAAUUAAGAUUUUUAAUAGAUAUUAUUUUGCUUAUUUUUUGGCCUUUAAUGGAUCAUGAGACAGUGAAGAGAGAGAGGGGGAGACAGAAGAUCAGACUCGAACUCAGGCUACUGCCCUCUGGCCAUGUGGCAUGUAGCCGGCUCACCCACUGAGCUAAACUGCCACCGAUCAUGGUCAUUUCUGACAUCUUUUAAAGGAACAAAGUACAAGCUUUUCAUUUCGUGGAGGCAAACAAGACCAUAUUUCAGUAAAGGGAUGGAGAACUACAAUAUCAACUACUGCCAGGUAGCUUGUUUAGCAACAACAUGGUGAGCUACACAAAAAUUCAACACCUGUAUCAUUGCUGUGAGGUAUAAAAUUAGAUAGGAACAAAAUUGCUUUGUACCAGGUUGUACUUUUUUUUUUUUUUUUCUCCUUUAAUAAUAGUACAUUUUAACGUCUGUGGAGACUGAAUCGCAAUUUAAGCCUCAAGUGGCCACUGGUGGAACUGAACCCUACACACUCUCUAAUAACCCUUACCCAUUAGUACCUACUUGGCUCAGCUCAACUCAGUUCUUAAAUGAAAAUGUGACAUCAGCAGACUGUAUGACACCUGUUGGCCAGUCAGUGGUGCGGCUCCUUCACACAAAUCAAAACCGCCGCUUUAGAGACCUGGGAAUGAGGGAAAUAACUUCAUAAAAGCCAAAGCCGUUGUCACUGAGCCUGAUAAAAGGCCAUUGUACUGUUGCACCCAAUGUGACCCAGUGUCCUAUAUUGAGAUUCACAGCCAGCUAAACUCUCUCUUGCAUCACUUCCUCCAAGGAACAGGCACGUGUUGUAUUUGGACAGGAUUUAAUGCAAAAAAGUGUGAAACUGAAAUGAUACAGAAUACAGAAAUGUCACAUAAACAUUAGCUUGGGUCGAACUUAAGUGGACAUAUAAAACACAUCAAAAGUUUCCAAAUCACUUCAAUAAUGUCAUAUACCCUC